AACGAACGCUGGCGGCGUGGAUAAGACAUGCAAGUCGAACGGGAUUACUUUUGUAGCAAUACAGAAGUAAUUCAGUGGCGAACGGGUGCGUAACACGUGGGCAAUCUGCCGAAAAGUGGGGGAUAGCUCGCCGAAAGGCGAAUUAAUACCGCAUGUGGUGAGGGACGACAUCUUCCUGAAUCCAAAGCCAGGGCAACCUGGCGCUUUUUGAGGAGCCCGCGGCCUAUCAGCAGUUGGUGAGGUAACGGCUCACCAAGGCUUUGACGGGUAGCUGGUCUGAGAGGACGACCAGUCACACUGGAACUGAGACACGGCCCAGACUCCUACGGGAGGCAGCAGUGGGGAAUCUUGCGCAAUGCACGAAAGUGUGACGCAGCAACGCCGCGUGCGGGAAGACGGCCU
rnacentral:rRNA from 1 species